rnacentral:rRNA from 1 species
CCUACGGGAGGCAGCAGUGGGGAAUAUUGGGCAAUGGGCGCAAGCCUGACCCAGCAACGCCGCGUGACGGAAGAAGGCUUUCGGGUUGUAAACUUCUUUUGUCAGGGACGAAGCAAGUGACGGUACCUGACGAAUAAGCCACGGCUAACUACGUGCCAGCAGCCGCGGUAAUACGUAGGUGGCAAGCGUUAUCGGGAUUGAUUGGUUGUAAAGGGCGUGUAGGCGGGAAUGCAAGUCAGAUGGGAAAACUAUGGGCUCAACCCAUAGCCUGACUUUGAAACUGUAUUUCUUGAGUGCUGGAGAGUCAAUCGGAAUUCCGUGUGUAGCGGUGAAAUGCGUAGAUAUAUGGAGGAACACCAGUGGCGAAGGCGGAUUGCUGGACAGUAACUGACGCUGAGGCGCGAAAGCGUGGGGAGCAAACAGGAUUAGAUACCCCAGUAGUC